GGGUAUAUGGUUCAGUGGUAAAGUGCAUGCUUAGCAUGCAGGAGGUCCUGGGUUCAAUCCCCAGUACCUCCA
rnacentral:tRNA from 1 species